GGAUCAAUAUGCUGGUCGUGCCUUUGGUACGUACUGGUAUUAUUGGUUUCUCCUUCCUGAUGAACUGUAAUGCCAUUAAUUUGGUGUUGCAGGGAAUUUGGACUGUUACUUCGAAAAAAUUAGAGUGUUAAAGCAAGCUAACGCUUGAAUACAUUAGCAUGGAAUAAUGAAAUAGGACGUUCGAUCCUAUUUUGUUGGUUUCUAGGAUUGACGUA
rnacentral:rRNA from 1 species